rnacentral:misc_RNA from 1 species
GCACCUACCGAUUGAAUGGUUCGGUGAAAAUCUCGGACUGCGGCUUGGAUGCCUCCGGGCAACCAAGCUGUGGAAAGUUGUUUAAACCUCAUCAUUUAGAGGAAGGUGAAGUCGUAACAAGGUUUCUGUAGGUGAACCUGCAGAAGGAUCAAUAUCGGAAUAGCGUCGUGUAGGUAAACAGUGUAUAUCUCGGUUGUCUCCGUAUCAUUAAAAUAAUAUCCUCCUUCGCUUCCUCCCUUUUACACUUUCUUUUCUCCCUUUUUCCUCCUUUUCUUUU